GGGCUGUUCCUGCUGAAGCACCUGGAUUUGUCCUGCAACGAGAUCCUGUCCAUUGAGGAACGGGCUUUUGAGCCACUGCCUUUCCUGAAGUUUCUAAAUCUCUCCGGGAAUGGCCUCACACGGAUCCGCAGCGGCACUUUCCAGGCCUGGCAUGGGAUGCAGUUCCUCCAGGAGCUGUAAGUGGCACCAGGGCUAAAGGCCCGCUAGGGCGAGUCUCUGCAGGGUCUCUGCCGGGUCUGUGGGCAAAAGCAGACUUGCCCUGGGGAAAGUCCUGAUUCUGACAGUGGAUGUCAGCCAGGGAGCACCAGGAGUGUGCAGCUGCAAAGGCCCUUUCUCCUGCCCUGCUCACCUCCUGCAAGGCUUCCUUGAAAGCCGCCAGGCCGUCCCCACGUGCCCGGCACACGCAGCUCACAUCCUCACCA